AUGGAUAAAAUAAGUAAGUUGAAAAUGUUCUAUUGCAUGGCAGAUGCCCAAGGUAUUCAGAAAGAGCUGAACACUAGAAAUUAUUCUAUUACCCUCACUCAUUCUCUGACCCCUUCUCCUACCCCAGUUGUGGAAGCUUCGACUUCUGCGCUCGAGGUGAAUCAUCUUGCUGAUGUUGCUUUCACUUUGACAGUGAAGGAAGAAACCUCACCUCCGAUUUCAUCAAAGAGGGCCAGUGGGAAGGAACAACAAUCCUCUUAG